rnacentral:pre_miRNA from 1 species
AGCAUGAUUGCUGGAUCAUAAGGUGAGAUUUUGUUUAGCUUUGUAAGAAACUGCCAAGCUCUCUUCCAAAGAGGCUGUACCAUUUUUCAUUCUCACCUGCAAU